AAGUUCAAGACGACUCAAUCGUCUAAGUGGGUAUGCAGAUCGUAUUCAUGAGCUCAUGAUUAUUUCUAGAGAUUUAGGUGGACGGAAUGCCUCUUCCAUACAAUCUAACGGGAGUGGUAAUUAUGUCACUGAGGCAAAUUACAUUGAGUUCGAUGGGGUUAAGGUUGUUACUCCAACUGGUAAUGUGUUGGUAGAGGACUUGAGCCUAAGGGUUGAAUCAGGGUCUAAUCUUUUGAUAACAGGUCCAAAUGGUAGCGGCAAAAGCUCACUUUUUCGAGUCCUUGGAGGUCUUUGGCCACUUGUUUCUGGCCAUAUUGUAAAACCUGGGAUUGGUUCUGAUCUGAAUAAGGAGAUCUUUUAUGUGCCCCAACGUCCAUAUACAGCUAUUGGAACACUACGUGACCAGAUUAUAUAUCCUUUGACUGCUGAUCAAGAGGUUGAACCGCUCACACGAAUUGGCAUGGUUGAACUUCUUAAAAAUGUUGAUCUUGAGUAUCUUCUGGAUCGCUAUCCUCCUGAAAAGGAGGUAAACUGGGGUGAAGAAUUAUCUCUGGGAGAGCAGCAAAGACUGGGGAUGGCUAGACUUUUCUACCAUAAACCAAAAUUUGCCAUUCUGGAUGAAUGUACAAGUGCUGUGACAACUGAUAUGGAGGAACGCUUUUGUUCAAAAGUAAGAGCGAUGGGAACAUCAUGUAUCACUAUUUCUCACCGCCCUGCAUUGGUUGCAUUUCAUGAUGUCGUCUUGUCCUUGGAUGGUGAAGGAGGCUGGAGGGUUCACUAUAAGAGGGCAGAGGCUCCCAGUCUCACUGACUCAGAGUUCAAUAAGAACCAGCAUAAUGAGACCGAUCGUCAAAGUGAUGCAAUGACUGUGCAGCGUGCAUUUGCUACUGCAAAAAAGAGCACAAAAUUCUCCAAGUCAGAGGCUGAAUUGUAUUUUUCAGAGUUGAUAUCGGCAUCUCCAUCUGAAGCUGAUGAGUCCCCCUUGCAUGUCUUCCCACAUCUUAAGAGUGUUCCAAGGAAACUUCCACAGAGAAUUGCUGCCAUGUCUAAAGUUCUGGUACCCAGACUGCUGGAUAAGCAGGGGGCACAGUUCCUUGCAGUCGCUUUACUUGUGGUGUCCAGAACGUGGGUUUCCGAUCGCAUUGCCUCUUUAAAUGGAACAACUGUGAAAUUUGUCCUGGAGCAAGAUAAGGCAGCAUUCCUACGGUUGAUUUUUAUUAGUGUCCUUCAGAGUGCUGCAUCCUCCUUUAUUGCUCCGUCUCUGAGGCACUUGACGCAGACAUUGGCACUUGGAUGGAGGAUUCGUUUGACCAAGCACUUGUUGAAGAACUACUUGAGAAAUAAUGCAUAUUAUAAGGUAUUUAACAUGUCGGGUGUCAACUUGGAUGCUGAUCAGAGAUUAACUCAAGAUCUGGAGAAGCUAACCGCUGACUUGUCUAGUCUGGUAACUGGAAUGGUGAAGCCAACUGUUGACAUUCUAUGGUUCACAUGGAGAAUGAAAAUGCUAACUGGCCAGAGGGGAGUCGCUAUAUUGUAUGCUUACAUGUUAUUAGGUUUGGGUUUCCUGAGAUGUGUUACUCCUGACUUUGGUGAACUGGCAAGUCGAGAACAACAGCUUGAAGGAACUUUCAGGUUCAUGCAUGAAAGGUUGCGAACACAUGCUGAAUCUGUUGCUUUCUUUGGAGGUGGUGCUCGUGAAAAAGAGAUGGUUGAAGCAAGGUUUAAAGAACUUCUUCACCACUCUUCUUUGCUUCUUAAGAAGAAAUGGUUAUUUGGCAUAAUAGAUGAGUUCAUCACGAAGCAGCUUCCUCACAAUGUUACUUGGGGAUUGAGUUUGUUGUAUGCUAUGGAGCACAAGGGCG
rnacentral:misc_RNA from 1 species